rnacentral:lncRNA from 10 species
CCGUAGACAGGCUGCCCAGCUUCCUGGCGGCCCCCAAUGCUCCCAGGGGCCAGCCGCUGCCCCAUCACCAAUGCUCCAUCCACCUGAACUGUGAAGACACCCUCCUCCUUCAUCAGGCCUUUGAAGAUGCCAUGGAUGGCCUGCCUUCCCACAGGCCUGUGAUUGAGCUCUGCAUCCCUUCCUCGCUGGACCCCACCCUGGCUCCCCCUGGCUGCCAUGUAGUCUCCCUCUUCACUCAGUACAUGCCCUAUACGCUGGCUGGAGGCAAGGCCUGGGACGAGCAGGAGAGAGACGCUUAUGCAGACAGAGCACAGCUGACUGCACGAACCAAAGGAGACGCAUGAGCCAGAGAGACAAGGAAGGCUUUCAAAGGAAGGGAUGGUCAAGCUGGGUUUCCAAGGAUGACUAGGAGCUGGCCAGGCAGCAAAGGGCAUUCCAAGCAAGAGAAACAGCUUGAUCAGGCCAGGCGUGGGGGCUCAUGCCUGUAAUUCCAGCACUUCGGGAGGCCGAGGCAGGCGGAUCACCCGAGUGUUUGAUUGCAUCGAGGUCUAUGCCCCUGGCUUCAAGGACUCUGUGGUUGGCAGAGACAUCCUCACACCACCAGAUUUGGAGAGAAUCUUCGGGCUUCCUGGAGGG